ACUCAUUUCAUGGAAGAAUAAUGCACUAGUUUGAAGAUAUUUGCAAAGGAUGAAAGUAGCUGAAGAAUGAAGAAAAAUAGCUAAUAUUCUGUUUUUUUCGCCCCAGACGAAAAAUCCUGUGCCUGAGGCGAAAAGUUCCAGUUGAAAAGUACCUCUCUGUUUGCUAUUUCGCCUGAGGCGAAAAAUCCUGUGCCUCAGGCGAAACUUCUGUGCCUGGGGCGAAAAUGCUUGUGCCUGAGGCGAAAUUCUCAUUUAUUGACUCCGGUUAUAAAAGGAAAACGCAGAUCUGAGAUAGUGGAUCUAAAAAUAGCAUUGGAAACAUCGAUUUUGAGAACUUUUGAAGAUCAAGGAGCUUGGAGACAAGGAUUUGAAGGUGGAAACACAUCAAGAUCAUCUUGUAAUCAUGCUUUCUUUCAUUUCUUUGAUUGUAAUGUCUUUUAUCACUAUGUGUAACUAAAUUCUCAUGAUUGAUCCUUAGGGGAUUCUUAAUAUUAUUUCUCUUGAACUAUGUGAUUAUCAUAUGUUAUAAUUAAUGAAUUACGAAG
rnacentral:lncRNA from 1 species